rnacentral:rRNA from 1 species
ACGUACAAGCAGUGGGAGCACAGGUUUACCUGUGUGACUGCGUACCUUUUGUAUAAUGGGUCAGCGACUUAUAUUCUGUAGCAAGGUUAACCGAAUAGGGGAGCCGGAGGGAAACCGAGUCUUAAUUGGGCGUUAAGUUGCAGGGUAUAGACCCGAAACCCGGUGAUCUAGCCAUGGGCAGGUUGAAGGUUGGGUAACACUAACUGGAGGACCGAACCGACUAAUGUUGAAAAAUUAGCGGAUGACCUGUGGCUGGGGGUGAAAGGCCAAUCAAACCGGGAGAUAGCUGGUUCUCCCCGAAAGCUAUUUAGGUAGCGCCUCGUGAAUUCAUCUCCGGGGGUAGAGCACUGUUUCGGCUAGGGGGCCAUCCCGGCUUACCAACCCGAUGCAAACUGCGAAUACCGGAGAAUGUUAUCACGGGAGACACACGGCGGGUGCUAACGUCCGUCGUGAAGAGGGAAACAACCCAGACCGCCAGCUAAGGUCCCAAAGUCAUGGUUAAGUGGGAAACGAUGUGGGAAGGCCCAGACAGCCAGGAUGUUGGCUUAGAAGCAGCCAUCAUUUAAAGAAAGCGUAAUAGCUCACUGGUCGAGUCGGCCUGCGCGGAAGAUGUAACGGGGCUAAACCAUGCACCGAAGCUGCGGCAGCGANNGUUGGGUAGGGGAGCGUUCUGUAAGCCUGUGAAGGUGGCCUGUGAGGGUUGCUGGAGGUAUCAGAAGUGCGAAUGCUGACAUAAGUAACGAUAAAGCGGGUGAAAAGCCCGCUCGCCGGAAGACCAAGGGUUCCUGUCCAACGUUAAUCGGGGCAGGGUGAGUCGACCCCUAAGGCGAGGCCGAAAGGCGUAGUCGAUGGGAAACGGGUUAAUAUUCCCGUACUUGGUGUUACUGCGAAGGGGGGACGGAGAAGGCUAUGUUGGCCGGGCGACGGUUGUCCCGGUUUAAGCGUGUAGGUGUGUGUUCCAGGUAAAUCCGGUUCACUUUAACACUGAGGCGUGAUGACGAGGCACUACGGUGCUGAAGUAACAAAUGCCCUGCUUCCAGGAAAAGCCUCUAAGCAUCAGGUAACAUCAAAUCGUACCCCAAACCGACACAGGUGGUCAGGUAGAGAAUACCAAGGCGCUUGAGAGAACUCGGGUGAAGGAACUAGGCAAAAUGGUGCCGUAACUUCGGGAGAAGGCACGCUGACACGUAGGUGAAGUGAUUUACUCACGGAGCUGAAGUCAGUCGAAGAUACCAGCUGGCUGCAACUGUUUAUUAAAAACACAGCACUGUGCAAACACGAAAGUGGACGUAUACGGUGUGACGCCUGCCCGGUGCCGGAAGGUUAAUUGAUGGGGUCAGCGCAAGCGAAGCUCCUGAUCGAAGCCCCGGUAAACGGCGGCCGUAACUAUAACGGUCCUAAGGUAGCGAAAUUCCUUGUCGGGUAAGUUCCGACCUGCACGAAUGGCGUAAUGAUGGCCAGGCUGUCUCCACCCGAGACUCAGUGAAAUUGAACUCGCUGUGAAGAUGCAGUGUACCCGCGGCAAGACGGAAAGACCCCGUGAACCUUUACUAUAGCUUGACACUGAACAUUGAGCCUUGAUGUGUAGNNCCGGGUUGCGGACAGUGUCUGGUGGGUAGUUUGACUGGGGCGGUCUCCUCCUAAAGAGUAACGGAGGAGCACGAAGGUUGGCUAAUCCUGGUCGGACAUCAGGAGGUUAGUGCAAUGGCAUAAGCCAGCUUGACUGCGAGCGUGACGGCGCGAGCAGGUGCGAAAGCAGGUCAUAGUGAUCCGGUGGUUCUGAAUGGAAGGGCCAUCGCUCAACGGAUAAAAGGUACUCCGGGGAUAACAGGCUGAUACCGCCCAAGAGUUCAUAUCGACGGCGGUGUUUGGCACCUCGAUGUCGGCUCAUCACAUCCUGGGGCUGAAGUAGGUCCCAAGGGUAUGGCUGUUCGCCAUUUAAAGUGGUACGCGAGCUGGGUUUAGAACGUCGUGAGACAGUUCGGUCCCUAUCUGCCGUGGGCGCUGGAGAACUGAGGGGGGCUGCUCCUAGUACGAGAGGACCGGAGUGGACGCAUCACUGGUGUUCGGGUUGUCAUGCCAAUGGCACUGCCCGGUAGCUAAAUGCGGAAGAGAUAAGUGCUGAAAGCAUCUAAGCACGAAACUUGCCCCGAGAUGAGUUCUCCCUGAGACUUAAAGUCUCCUGAAGGAACGUUGAAGACGACG